AGGAUGAACGCUGGCGGCGUGCUUAACACAUGCAAGUCGAACGAUGAACCUCGCUUGCGGGGGGAUUAGUGGCGAACGGGUGAGUAACACGUGAGUAACCUGCCCUUAACUCUGGGAUAAGCCUUGGAAACGGGGUCUAAUACUGGAUAUUGACUUUACAUCGCAUGGUGUUUGGUUGAAAGAUUUAUUGGUUUUGGAUGGACUCGCGGCCUAUCAGCUUGUUGGUGAGGUAAUGGCUCACCAAGGCGACGACGGGUAGCCGGCCUGAGAGGGUGACCGGCCACACUGGGACUGAGACACGGCCCAGACUCCUACGGGAGGCAGCAGUGGGGAAUAUUGCACAAUGGGCGAAAGCCUGAUGCAGCGACGCCGCGUGAGGGAUGACGGCCUUCGGGUUGUAAACCUCUUUCAGUAGGGAACAAGGCCAGACGUUGUCUGGUUGAGGGUACUUGCAGAAGAAGCGCCGGCUAACUACGUGCCAGC
rnacentral:rRNA from 1 species